CCUGGUACCUCCCUACAGAGAUGGAGGUUGUAGCCUUGCUCAAGGCCUGUCGAGUACAGUGAUCAAUAAAUGUGGGUCCCUGGGGCUCAUUUGCGUGGGACAUUCCAGGGAGAGGCAGGAAGGCAAGCCCUGUCUCUGGGUCAGUAACAGAGAGGGCCAGCAGCUGUUCAUAGCCAAGACGAUCGUGUGUGGUAGGAUCUGAAAAGCCCAUUGCCUGAGAGAGACGUUGCCGAGUCUCUUCGUCCAGACAGCCAAAGCGCAGGGCAGCCUCCAGGGGCAGCCGGAAUCUGCGAGCUGGGCAUAUAAGCCCACCUGUAGCUAGCUGGGCAUCUAGGAGACGCAGAGCCAGUGGCUGGUCCACAAGUCCCUUCUUCAUAGCCUGGAAAACGGGGAUUCGGGAGCUGCUAAAGGGGUCAUAAUACCCAGUUACUGCCUGUUCUGCAACCAGGAGCUGCUCAUGAAGUUCUGGGCCAACCAGGCCAGCCUUGACUGCCUCUUCCACCCAAAGACGCUGGCCUGUGGUUGGGUGCACAAGGGUGCGGGUGGCAGCCUGAGCCUCUAAGAGUUGUAGUGCAAUACCCUUUGAGACCAAGUGUUCAACUGUAGCCUGGAAAAAGCUCUUCUUGUGACCUCCAGGCAACAGGACAACCCCCGCUAACCCUCCAGUGCCUUCCAGAUAACGUCGCACCUCGGGACGUGUGCCCACGUCUGACACCACCAGCAUGCCCUCCUGCAGGGACAAUGAACUUCUCAGUUCCAUUGGCAACUACGACAUCAUGAGGAGGGGCCUGGCCGUUCAUCGUGGACAGCUGGUGGCACAGAACUUGCUUAAGGCUAUGCCUUGCCCUAGGAGACUCCAUUUUACAACUUGUCUUUUGCCAUUUUGAGGGAAGUAGAUGGCAGGCCCUGGGUGGAUCCACAAACAGCACCAUCUGCCAGGCACCAGGCACAGCACGGA
rnacentral:lncRNA from 1 species